GGUUAAGUGAAUAAGGGCGUACGGUGAAUGCCUUGGCACUAGGAGCCGAUGAAGGACGGGACGAACACCGAUAUGCUUCGGGGAGCUGUAAGUAAGCUUUGAUCCGGAGAUUUCCGAAUGGGGGAACCUCAUUGUUUUUAUCGACAAUGGUCCACUCAGUGAACACAUAGCUGAGGGGAAGGUAGACGUGGUGAACUGAAACAUCUCAGUAGCCACAGGAAGAGAAAGAAAAAUCGAUUUCCCGAGUAGCGGCGAGCGAAACGGAAAGAGGCCAAACCAGCGUGCUUGCAUGCUGGGGUUGUAGGACUGAUUGACGGGAGUGAAUGAGCUAGUCGAACGCCAUGGAAAGGGCGAUCAGAGAGGGUGACAAUCCCGUAGGCGAAAGCUCAGCCACCUCAUUCAGUAUCCUGAGUACGGCGGUACACGUGAAAUUCCGUCGGAAUCCGCCAGGACCAUCUGGCAAGCCUAAAUACUCCCUAGUGACCGAUAGUGAACCAGUACCGUGAGGGAAAGGUGAAAAGCACCCCGGAAGGGGAGUGAAAGAGUACCUGAAACCGUAUGCCUACAAGCAGUCAGAGCCCGUUAAGGGGUGAUGGCGUACUUUUUGUAGAACGGACCGGCGAGUGACGAUAGCAAGCAAGGUUAAGCUGAAGAAGCGGAGCCACAGCGAAAGCGAGUCUGAAGAGGGCGUUGAGUUUGUUGUCGUCGACCCGAAACCAAGUGAUCUACUCAUGUCCAGGCUGAAGGUGUGGUAAAACACACUGGAGGGCCGAACCCACGUCUGUUGAAAAAGGCGGGGAUGAGGUGUGGGUAGCGGUGAAAUUCCAAUCGAACUUGGAGAUAGCUGGUUCUCUCCGAAAUAGCUUUAGGGCUAGCCUCGGAUGAUGACUAUUGGAGGUAGAGCACUGUUUGAUCGAGGGGUCCAUCCUGGAUUACCGACAUCUGAUAAACUCCGAAUGCCAAAUAGUUUAGUCCGGGAGUCAGACUGCGAGUGAUAAGAUCCGUAGUCGAAAGGGAAAGAGCCCAGACCACCAGCUAAGGUCCCAAAGUUUCAGUUAAGUGGAAAAGGAUGUGGGGUUGCUUAGACAACUAGGAUGUUGGCUUAGAAGCAGCCAUCAUUGAAAGAGUGCGUAAUAGCUCACUAGUCGAGUGACCCUGCGCCGAAAAUGUACCGGGGCUAAACUGAACACCGAAGCUGUGGAUCCGUAGGAUGGUAGGAGAGCGUUCUAUAGGCAGAGAAGCAUGAUCGUGAGGACAUGUGGAGCGUAUAGAAGUGAGAAUGCCGGUAUGAGUAGCGAAAGACGGGUGAGAAUCCCGUCCACCGAAUGACUAAGGUUUCCUGGGGAAGGCUCGUCCUCCCAGGGUUAGUCGGGACCUAAGCCGAGACCGAAAGGGAUAGGCGAUGGACAACAGGUUGAGAUUCCUGUACUUGUUUGAUUUGUUUGAGCGAUGGAAGGACACAGAAGGCUAAGCGGAGCGCGGAGAUGGAAAAACGCGUCCAAGCAAUGAGUGAGAAGGUGAGUGAAAGGCUUGCCUCAGACUUCAUGAGUUGUGACGGGGAGGGAAGUUUAGUACCGAAGCCGCCGACGUCACGCUGUCAAGAAAAGUUUCUAGUGAGAAUCAAACAACCCGUACCGCAAACCGACACAGGUAGUCGAGUGGAGAACACUAAGGUGAGCGAGCGAACUCUCGUUAAGGAACUCGGCAAAAUGACCCCGUAACUUCGGGAGAAGGGGUGCUGACCGCAAGGUCAGCCGCAGUGAAUAGGCCCAAGCGACUGUUUAUCAAAAACAUAGGUCUCUGCCAAAUCGAAAGAUGAUGUAUAGAGGCUGACGCCUGCCCGGUGCUGGAAGGUUAAGAGGAAGGGUUAGCGUAUGCGAAGCUCUGAAUUGAAGCCCCAGUAAACGGCGGCCGUAACUAUAACGGUCCUAAGGUAGCGAAAUUCCUUGUCAGGUAAGUUCUGACCCGCACGAAAGGCGUAACGAUUUGGGCACUGUCUCAACGAGAGGCUCGGUGAAAUUGUAGUACCAGUGAAGAUGCUGGUUACCCGCGACAGGACGGAAAGACCCCAUGGAGCUUUACUGUAGGUUGAUAUUGAAUGUUUGUGCCACAUGUACAGGAUAGGUAGGAGCCAUCGAAGUCGGGACGCUAGUCUCGAUGGAGGCACUGGUGGGAUACUACCCUUGUGGGAUGACCAUUCUAACCCGCGACCAUUAGCUGGUCGGGAGACAGUGUCAGUCAGGCAGUUUGACUGGGGCGGUCGCCUCCUAAAGUGUAACGGAGGCGCCCAAAGGUUCCCUCAGAAUGGUUGGAAAUCAUUCGCAGAGUGUAAAGGCAGAAGGGAGCUUGACUGCGAGACCUACAAGUCGAGCAGGGACGAAAGUCGGGCUUAGUGAUCCGGUGGUUCCGCAUGGAAGGGCCAUCGCUCAACGGAUAAAAGCUACCCUGGGGAUAACAGGCUUAUCUCCCCCAAGAGUUCACAUCGACGGGGAGGUUUGGCACCUCGAUGUCGGCUCAUCGCAUCCUGGGGCUGAAGUCGGUCCCAAGGGUUGGGCUGUUCGCCCAUUAAAGCGGUACGCGAGCUGGGUUCAGAACGUCGUGAGACAGUUCGGUCCCUAUCCGUCGCGGGCGUUGGAAAUUUGAGAGGAGCUGUCCUUAGUACGAGAGGACCGGGAUGGACACACCGCUGGUGUACCAGUUGUUCCACCAGGAGCAUGGCUGGGUAGCUAUGUGUGGACGGGAUAAGCGCUGAAAGCAUCUAAGCGUGAAGCCCCCCUCAAGAUGAGAUUUCCCAUACUUUGAAAGUAGUAAGACCCCUGAAAGACGAUCAGGUUGAUAGGUUUGGAGUGGAAGCUUAGCAAUAAGUGGAGCGGACAAAUACUAAUCGGUCGAGGACUUAUCCAA
rnacentral:rRNA from 1 species